GUGCCAGCCGCCGCGGUAAUACGGAGGGUGCAAGCGUUAUCCGGAUUUACUGGGUUUAAAGGGUGCGUAGGCGGACAGGUAAGUCAGUGGUGAAAUCCCCGAGCUCAACUUGGGAACUGCCGUUGAUACUAUCUGUCUUGAAUACCGUGGAGGUGAGCGGAAUAUGUCAUGUAGCGGUGAAAUGCUUAGAUAUGACAUAGAACACCGAUUGCGAAGGCAGCUCACUACGCGGUCAUUGACGCUGAGGCACGAAAGCGUGGGGAGCAAACAGGAUUAGAAACCCCUGUAGUCC
rnacentral:rRNA from 1 species